rnacentral:rRNA from 1 species
UACAGAGGUCCCAAGCGUUGUUCGGAUUCACUGGGCGUAAAGGGUGCGUAGGUGGCUUGGUAAGUUUGAUGUGAAAUCUCCGGGCUUAACCCGGAAAAUGCAUUGAAUACUAUUGAGCUCGAGGUUUGGAGGGGGGAUUGGAAUUCUCGGUGUAGCAGUGAAAUGCGUAGAUAUCGAGAGGAACACCAGUGGCGAAGGCGGAUCCCUGGACAACACCUGACACUGAGGCACGAAAGCUAGGGGAGCAAACAGG